AUAACUCUAUAAAUAACACUGAUUUGAGCUGACUUUACUUAAUAUAAAUUAAAUUACUACAUAAAACAGUAAAUUACUGAAGAUAAAAUAGAGCAAACCAAUAAAUCCUUAUAAAUAUGAAUAAUAAAAAUAAACGUGAGGUUCUGGAGGUUUCCUGAGUUCAGCUUCAACAGAAACGUCUCUGUUUGUUCCAGUAAACAAGCGAAGACAACAAACAAUGGCUGGCUUCAUGUCUUCAUCCUCAACAAUGAGCCCAUAGAACGUCAGCGACCAACAACCAUCACAUGUUCUAACAGAUCAGCUGUUCCUGCAUGGCCCACCACUCUCACCAGUCUGGAACCAUUUAAACCACUGUCCAGAGAGGUUAUUACACCUUACUGCUGCUCUGCAUCUAAAAAACAUCCAGAACUCUGUCUGGAACCAUUUAAACCACUGUCCAGAGAGGUUAUU
ensembl:lncRNA